GAGAUAGAUAUUUGUGUUGAGAUGUGACAAAGCCUUUAGAGGUUCUUUGUUUAUCAUUAUGCUCUGCUCCAUCUCUUAAGCUAAAACAAAAUGGAUGGGUUGGAAACUUUGCGCUUGGAGCAAGCUAUAUCAGUUUGCCAUGGUGGGCUGGGCAAGCAUUGUUUGGCACUGAUGCUGCAAAAUGGAUAUGCGUUAGUGCUAUAGACGUUACUCAGCUCUCUGUUUCCGGUAUGUAGUAUGACUUCUAUUUCUUGUGCUUGAUCUUAUGAACUAGAUGAUCAUUAGUGAAUGUCUAUUCUGGUUGCAGUGUAUCUUGUGA